UGAGGAAUAUUGGUCAAUGGGCGAGAGCCUGAACCAGCCAAGUAGCGUGCAGGAUGACGGCCCUAUGGGUUGUAAACUGCCUUUAUGUGGGGAUAAAGUGCGUGACGUGUCAUGCAUUGCAGGUACCACAUGAAUAAGGACCGGCUAAUUCCGUGCCAGCAGCCGCGGUAAUACGGAAGGUCCGGGCGUUAUCCGGAUUUAUUGGGUUUAAAGGGAGCGUAGGCUGUCUAUUAAGCGUGUUGUGAAAUUUACCGGCUCAACCGGUGGCUUGCAGCGCGAACUGGUCGACUUGAGUAUGCAGGAAGUAGGCGGAAUUCAUGGUGUAGCGGUGAAAUGCUUAGAUAUCAUGACGAACUCCGAUUGCGCAGGCAGCUUACUGUAGCAUAACUGACGCUGAUGCUCGAAAGUGCGGGUAUCAAACAGGAUUAGAUACCCUGGUAGUCCGCACGGUAAACGAUGGAUGCUCGCUAUUCGUCCUAUUUGGAUGAGUGGCCAAGUGAAAACAUUAAGCAUCCCACCUGGGGAGUACGCCGGCAACGGUG
rnacentral:rRNA from 1 species